UUGACCUCGGAUCAGGUAGGGAUACCCGCUGAACUUAAGCAUAUCAAUAAGCGGAGGAAAAGAAACCAACAGGGAUUGCCCCAGUAACGGCGAGUGAAGCGGCAAGAGCUCAAAUUUGAAAGCUGGCUCCUUCGGGGUCCGCAUUGUAAUUUGCAGAGGAUGCUUCGGGAGCGGUCCCCAUCUAAGUGCCCUGGAACGGGACGUCAUAGAGGGUGAGAAUCCCGUAUGGGAUGGGGUGUCCGCGCCCGUGUGAAGCUCCUUCGACGAGUCGAGUUGUUUGGGAAUGCAGCUCUAAAUGGGUGGUAAAUUUCAUCUAAAGCUAAAUAUUGGCCGGAGACCGAUAGCGCACAAGUAGAGUGAUCGAAAGAUGAAAAGCACUUUGAAAAGAGAGUUAAAAAGCACGUGAAAUUGUUGAAAGGGAAGCGCUUGCGACCAGACUCGCUCGCGGGGUUCAGCCGGCAUUCGUGCCGGUGUAUUUCCCCGCGGGCGGGCCAGCGUCGGUUUGGGCGGUC
rnacentral:rRNA from 1 species